rnacentral:piRNA from 1 species
UACUGUACCAGUUUCUAGAAACCGUCCAA